UGUGUGUUGGACCCAUGGAGGCGGCAUCGGAACCCUCCGCGCAUUAGCACCGAUCUUGAGGCAUGUCCCGCCUAUCGACACUCGCAAUCGCUCGCCACCGCGAAACCCUCGCCAUGGCUCUCCUCUCUGUCCUUUCCUCCGCGCUUCCCUUCCUCCACCCCAUCCGAAUCCCAGCCUCAAACCUUUCUCCUUGCCGCUUCCACCUUCGACCCCGCCGCUCGCUCCGCCGCCUCUCCUCCUCGCCAGUCCCGCCGCUCCUUCCCUCCCCCGUUGCCUUCUCCGCCUCUGCGCUCCCACUGGGGGAGCUCGUCGAGAGGGACUGGUCCUUCCUCGACGCCGAUGCCACCAAUAACGAGGAGCAGCGGGCCGAUAAGGCCCGCCGGAUCAUCUCGGCCGCUGACAUCAGGGGGACCGGCUCCAGGGUUCUCGCCGCACUUCCGACCCUAAGUUUCGUCGACCGGGUGGUCGAGUCGGCCCCCUGCGAGCUCCUGGUGGCGAUCCAUGAGUCGCUUUUCGUGCUCGCCAUGAUCAAGGAGAGCCACGACCGGGUGCGGUGCUGGCAGGGCGGGGUCGACGCCGUGCCCGAGAGGUUCUCGCCCUUUGAUGCCGUGUUCAUCUGCUAUUUCCCUGGGAUGGGCGUUUCGAUUGAUCAGCUGUUGAGCUCGCUUGCUGGGAAGUCCUCUCCAGGUGCAAGGGUGGUUCUCAGCUUUGAUCAAGGGAGGGAGGUCAUAGAGCAAAACCAUAGGCAGCAAUAUCCUGAUAUGGUGACUAAUAACUUGCCUGAUAGAACAGAGCUAGGAAGGGUGGCGAUGGAACAUUCGUUUCAUAUAACAGAAUUUGUUGAUGAGCCCACCUUUUACCUUGCUGUCUUGAGAUUCCAUGACUAAGAAAACUCAGACCUCAGUCAACGUUUCGUCUCCGAUAUAAGUAAUCGUCAUCGAGAAAGAGAUGACAUGAUCUGUAUCAGGGUUAGUUCCAGUCUUCAUCAAUCUAUGGAAGGAAAGGAUGACAUGGUUUUGGAACCCCGUCGACGGAAGACUGCGUCACCUGCGGUCCUUCGAUUGGUUGAAUCCCGUGUAAGCUGCGAUCUGGACAAAGAGAAUCCAUACAUGAUUUGCCACGUCAAUAACUCUCAGUCUGCUCAAGAAAAGUC